rnacentral:rRNA from 1 species
UAUCUCUGUAGAGUCUGCAUAUCAAUAAGCGGAGGAAAAGAAACUAACAAGGAUUCCCUUAGUAACGGCGAGUGAAGCGGGAAGAGCUCAAAUUUGAAUCUUCAAGGUUUUACCUUGACGAAUUGUAGUUUAAAGAAGUGUCUUCUGUUGAAGUUUCGGUAAAAGUUCUUUGGAAUAGGACAUCAUAGAGGGUGAGAAUCCCGUAUUUGACCGUUAUUUUCAGCUGUGUGAUACACUUUCAAAGAGUCGGAUUGUUUGGGAAUGCAGUCCAAAAUGGGUGGUAAAUUUCAUCUAAAGCUAAAUAUUGGCGAGAGACCGAUAGCGAACAAGUACCGUGAGGGAAAGAUGAAAAGAACUUUGAAAAGAGAGUUAAACAGUACGUGAAAUUGUCAAAAGGGAAGCGUUUGACACCAGUGUUGUUUUCUCGAAAAUCAAUUAAAAAUGGCUUGAUUUUGUGUUGUAUUGACCUUAAAAGCUUUCUUCACUUUUUUCAUGUCUUUUUUAAUGCACUUUUCGUUUAACAAGUCAACAUCAGUUUCUUUUGUUGUAAAAAGGUCAUUGGAAGGUGGCUUUCUUUUCGGAGAAAGUGUUUAUAGCCUUUGACUCCUGCAAUCGGAGAGACUGAGGUCUGCAGCGUAGAUCCUUCUGGAUUAGAUUCAUUUGUGCUAAGUUACAACCGUUUAUAGACAACUUGUUGACUAUAUUCGAUCCUGUAGCUUACUCGCUUAUGUAAUUUUACCUACGCUUAGGAUGUUGACUGAUAUGUAGUCGUA